AUGCAAGAGGAAAAAGUCUGAAAGCAGGAGGUGGUAGAAAACAGGUGCUUUCAAGACCAAAUCCAUACAAAGAAUAAAACUUUCACAUGGAGGGAAAAAACAGCCAUGUUGGCAGGGAUGACAAAACCAGAACAAACAAUGGAGCUCUAUUCAGUUACUGUGACUCGUGAGAAUGCCAGCGAUCCUGGAGUUCGUUUAAACCCCUGGGGGACAAACUGAAGAAGAGGGAAAGAACAGCGGGAGAGCGAAAAAGAAAGAACGCACUGGAGACACAUACAUGAAAGAGUCCUUUUUUGUGGCUGAAUCUCAAAUGGCGUUUUAUUGGACAUGAAAGGGUGCGUCCUGAUACUCCAGUAUUAAUGCAUCUGCCAUCUUUGAGCUCAGUUCUUUAAAAGCACUUCGAGAAAUCGAGGAAAAAGGAAGUGCGGAUGCUUCCAGAUCAAGGACACACAGAUGCUUCCUACACAGAAGUUAUGCCAUGUGACACGACUGUGCAACAAGUCAUUCUACAACAAACUAGGGCAUCUGAUGUGAUGUAUACAGAUGUCGUUGAUUCCCUGUUUCAUUUCCUUGUGUCCUCAGAAAGAGGACUUAAGACAUGAUGAAGGCCAACAAGGAUACAUAUGGACAUGAGUGUUUUACUGGGAAAUAUGCCACUCAUAUUUUUCAUACCAGCUACAUCCGGGACACUGAGAACCAAAACCGUGAAGUAUUUCUCUAUAUGUCACUCAUGAGGAAAUUGAUGAAUUGUUUUGAUAAA